GUUAGGAAUAUUCGUCAAUGGGGGAAACCCUGAACGAGCAAUGCCGCGUGAGUGAUGACGGUCCUUUGGAUUGUAAAACUCUGUUGUAUGGAAAAAAUGACUAAGUUAGGAAAUGAACUUAGUGUGAUGGUACCAUGCCAGAAAGCCCCGGCUAACUACGUGCCAGCAGCCGCGGUAAUACGUAGGGGGCAAGCGUUAUCCGGAUUUAUUGGGCGUAAAGCGUGUGUAGGCGGUUUGUUAAGUUUAAGAUUAAAGCCUGGGGCUCAACUCCAGUUCGUCUUAAAAACUGGCAGGCUAGAGUACGGUAGAGGCAAACGGAAUUUCUAGUGUAGCGGUGAAAUGCGUAGAUAUUAGAAGGAACACCAGUGGCGAAAGCGGUUUGCUGGGCCGUUACUGACGCUGAGGCACGAAAGCGUGGGGAGCAAAUAGGAUUAGAUACCCCUGUAGUCC
rnacentral:rRNA from 1 species